UAUGUGAUCGUCUCUCGCAUAUCAAUAAGCGGAGGAAAAGAAACUAACAAGGAUUCCCCUAGUAACGGCGAGUGAAGCGGGAAGAGCUCAAAUUUGAAAUCUUAAAGGGUUUCCCUUUACGAAUUGUAGUUUAAAGAAGUGUUUUCUGUUGAGGUUUUGGUAAAAGUUCUUUGGAAUAGGACAUCAUAGAGGGUGAGAAUCCCGUAUUUGACCUUUACUUUCAACUUUGUGAUACACUUUCAAAGAGUCGGAUUGUUUGGGAAUGCAGUCCAAAAUGGGUGGUAAAUUUCAUCUAAAGCUAAAUAUUGGCGAGAGACCGAUAGCGAACAAGUACCGUGAGGGAAAGAUGAAAAGAACUUUGAAAAGAGAGUUAAACAGUACGUGAAAUUGUCAAAAGGGAAGCGUUUGACACCAGUGUUGUUUUUCUGAAAAUCAAUUAAAGAACUGUUUAUGCUAAGUUGUUUAGACUUUAUCAGCUAUACUGCUUAGUUUUGAACUUUUCUUUAAUGCACUUUUCAGUUAACAGGUCAACAUCAAUUUCUUUUGCUGUAAAAAAGCUUGAGGAAGGUGGCUUGAGAUUCGUCUUAAGUGUUUAUAGCCUCUUGCCUAUGCAGUCGGAGAGAUUGAGGUCUGCAGCGUAGAUCCUUCGGGGCUAAAUGCAUUUGUGCUAAGUUAUAGCAUUUUAUAGACAACUUGUUGACUAUGAUUUGUCUUGUAGCUUACUCGCUUAUGUUAUUUUACCUACGCUUAGGAUGUUGAUCUACAGAGCGAGAGU
rnacentral:rRNA from 1 species